rnacentral:miRNA from 1 species
CUCGGUGGAAGAUCGUCCCU